rnacentral:rRNA from 1 species
UGGGGAAUAUUGCACAAUGGAGGGAACUCUGAUGCAGCGACGCCGCGUGAACGAAGAAGGCUUUCGCGUCGUAAAGUUCUUUUAUAUGGGAAGAUAAUGACGGUACCAUAAGAAAAAGCCCCGGCUAACUACGUGCCAGCAGCCGCGGUAAUACGUAGGGGGCUAGCGUUGUCCGGAAUCACUGGGCGUAAAGGGUUCGCAGGCGGAAAUGCAAGUCAGGUGUAAAAGGCAGUAGCUUAACUACUGUAAGCAUUUGAAACUGCAUAUCUUGAGAAGAGUAGGGGUAAGUGGAAUUUUUAGUGUAGCGGUGAAAUGCGUAGAUAUUAGAAAGAAUACCGGUGGCGAAGGCGGCUUACUGGGCUCAUUCUGACGCUGAGGAACGAAAGCGUGGGUAGCAAACAAG